UUCAAGAAAAACAAAAAUGGAGCCUCCCAAAAAGAGGGGACGGUACAAAAAAUAUCUUGAAGAUUCAGCUACCUGUCCCCAGACAGACAAGACAACUGGAAUGUUAAACAAGGAUUAACAUGGGGUUCUGGAAAUAAGGAUGAUUUGAUGGAAGAAAAUGAAGUAAGGCGAGGGAAUCUGGAAUGUGACAGCUGCAAUGAAGGCUUUUAUAAUGAGAAUAGGGAAGAGGAAGAGACUGGAGAUGGCUCAACUGAGGAUGACUAUGAGGCUGCGGAGCUGAUUGUGGAAGACAUGGAAAUGGCAUUUGAGAGGGAACUAUGAGGUAUAUUUAAGUUGAGAGAGGGGGUGCUAUCAGAAAAAAAGUGUAAAAAG